GGAAUGCCGGUGAGAAGAAGGAGAUUGUGGU
rnacentral:piRNA from 1 species